rnacentral:lncRNA from 1 species
GAUGACUCUGCUGUCCAUGGCUGAAAAACAGUAGCGCAUUUUGUAAGUGGUCGAUCUGAGAACAAUGAGACGGUAUUUGGAACUAAACCAACAUUUGUUGUUGAAGUAGAAGUCCUGGGAGUGCAUUCUGACAAAGAACAGCAAAGGAUUAUCCUCUUCGAUAACCGAGACACCAGACCAGCUUGGGGGCAGAGAUACAAGUUAGCUGCAAUCUGAUUGCAGCUGGUAGCAACAAGAAUAAGCGCUGCAAUGAUUAUGGACCCAAGAAAUACAGGAAGACACAGUACACAUGAAUCAAGUGCAAGAAAUACAUGUGCAACACACGCACAGUAAAACUCUGUCCCUCAUGUGGUGUGUAGACCGGUCUUAAUUUGUAUCCAAUGGGG